UUUCCGUAGGUGAACCUGCGGAAGGAUCAUUAUCGCAUAACCGAGGAUCGAGGGCUGUCGCUGACCCGAAAGGUCGUGCACGCCCGAGGGCCCUCACACACAUCCACCUCAUCCCUAUGUGCACCACCGCGUGGGUGCCCCCCUGGCUUGUUCGGUGGGGGGCUCAUGUUUUCAUACAAACUCUGUUUGUAGUGCAGAAUGGAUUUUUUGUUUUUGCGAUCAUGCUAAUAUUCUAACUUUCAACAAUGGAUCGCGUGGCUUCCGCAUCGAUGAAGAAAG
rnacentral:misc_RNA from 1 species